AGGCUUAGGAUAAACACAAACCGAGGGCCUUCAAAGCCCUAAAUAGGGACCACCACCCCCUAGCUUCU
rnacentral:tRNA from 1 species